UACAGAGGGGGCAAGCGUUGUUCGGAAUUACUGGGCGUAAAGCGUGCGUAGUCGGUUAUCUAAGUCGGGUGUGAAAUCCCCGGGCUCAACCUGGGAAUUGCAUUCGAUACUGGAUAGCUAGAGUUCGGCAGAGGGAAGCGGAAUUUCGGGUGUAGCGGUGAAAUGCGUAGAUAUCCGAAGGAACAUCAGUGGCGAAAGCGGCUUCCUGGACCAGAACUGACGAUCAGGCACGAAAGCGUGGGGAGCAAACAGG
rnacentral:rRNA from 1 species